rnacentral:lncRNA from 1 species
GGAUCAUUUCGCAACACCUACGGCUUCCACUAGAUGUCAACGAUCUUUAUAAAGUUGUUUGAAGCGUCUAUGAUAAACAGAGAGCAAAUUAGAAUCCAAGGAAGUUGACAUGUCAUCACUUCAUUUUUUUGCGCCUGCGCAUAAAUCUGAGAAACAAACCACAUUUGUUCCGGACCUGGGAUGCCUUCCGGACCUGGGAUGCCUGCCUUCUGAUGGAGAUAAUCAAAGCAAUUGAGGAGUGGUAAGAUGGACAGGGAAGGCAGUUAUGGGUGCAUCCCAUAAAAGGGGGCAUGGGCAAUACUACCACCUUGUCCAGGAGCUGCUCUUGGACCAUGCCUGACAUCACUGAUACAUCCGGAUGAGUGCAGAAGAGAUGGAGUCUUUUGUUGGCCCAGACCUCACCAAGCCGACGACCAACUACAGGACCCCAAUAGAGCCAAAGCAAAAACUAGCUGUCACUCUAAGGAGGGGAUUAUCAAUGUGACUGGGAUUCUUGGACCCAGCUCUCUUAAGAAAAUGUACUGAAGCUGUCAUCCCAGCUAUGUGUUGGAGACCUAAGUUCUGGUACUUGGCAUCUGGAGACUUUAUUUGCAGUCUGACCUUGACCUACCGUCUUGGAUUCGAGACAGUAUUGCAGUGCAUUAUGUAGACCUGUGAGGCCAUAGAGAGGAGGACCAUAGCGACCCAUCUGCCACGACCCACUGACGAAACCUGGAGACAAACUUCUCAAGAGUGUAAUGAAAAAUGGGACUUUCCCAAUUGUUUGGGAUUGGUUGAUGGAAAAUAUUAUGAUCACCAAACCACCAAACUCAGGAAGACGGUUUUUUUUUUUAUUAUAAAGGAACCUUCUCCGUGGUGCUACUCGCCCUUGUGGAUGCUAAAUACCACUUCACAGCUAUUGAGGUGGGGGAUUUUGGGAGAAACAGAGACGGCAGAGUAAAUAAAAAAAUUAAAAAAACAUCCUCUCACUGUCAACUGCGUUUUAUUUACAGCAAAAUUAACAUGUACAAAUAUUUGUAUUUACAUAAGAUUCAACAACUGAGACAAAAACUGAACAAAUUCCACAGACAUGUGACUAACAGAAAUGGAAUAAUGUGUCCCUGAACAAAGGG